GGGCAAGCCUGGUCAAUGGUGGGGGGUGGGGCUGCAGCUGGUGGGGGCGGGGGAGAACAGAAUCUUCUCUCAGUUGCUGACUCCCUAGCUCAUCAGAGGAUGGAACUCUCAGGACAGUGGGGCGCACCGAUGCAUUCAGGAGUAGACCAGGGUCUCCAACAUCAAUUACAGCAUCUUCAACAACAGCAACAGCAGCAGCUUCAACAGCAACAGCUGAGCAUGAUGCUGGGACAGCACGGCGGUUUAGCUCCUCUUGUUGGCCAGCAGAUCUCCCAGCUCUCAUCAAUGCUUCCUGUUGGUUCACAACAUCAAUCUCCUCCAACCCUAAACAUGAUGCUGGGGAGUGGAGCUAAUAUUGCUGCCAUGUUCCAAGGACAUAACGGUAUGGCACCUGUUCAGUCCCCGCCCUCCUCCCAGGGUGGAGGACAAGGAUAUCUGCUGCUAGGAACAGCACAGCAUGGACAGAGACCAGGAGAGCAAGGAAUGCCUCCUGCAAUAUCUCCUAAUUCUACUCCGGGUAUUCAGAUGCCAGGACCUCCAGCUACUCCUCCAAUGGUUGGGGUAGAGAUGGGAGAUAGAAACAUGUACAUGGGGAAUAUGGGACGAAUGGUUCAUGGAAUUGACAAGUUCUCUGUAGAAGGUAUGGAUGAGAAUCAACAAUAUGCCUGGAAAGGAAUUCAAGGAGGAAUUUUGGCGGAGAUGUUUCCUAGCGUUGACAGACAAAUGCAACACUUUGCAGAUCCAAGAAUGCAGACGGGGGCUCAGGGACAGAAUAUGAAUCAUGCUGCCAUGGCCCAGUUUCAGGCUCAGGAGAAUAUGGUUCGGAUGCAACAGCAUCAACAGCAGCAACAACUUCAUCAGAAGCAGCACUACUCCCAACAAAUGCAGGGACAUCCUCAGAUGUUCCAGGAUAUGAGAGGAUUUUCUCAAAUUGUUCCUGCCCAGUCUCCUCCUGCUCCCAAUGGUAUGCAGUUUCACCAUGGAGGUCCUCCUGGGCCACGUCCUCGUCCUGUUGGUGGGGAUGAUUCAUCUCCUGGGUUUACUCCCGAGGUGCCAGCUCCACACGAGGCUGAAAAUCCUAAAGAUGAUCUUGUUAUCGGCAGCUGGAAUGAUGAGUGUGAGAAGGAAGGAGCUGGAAUUGCUCCGCCUGGGCCUCCGCCUCAGAUUCUGCAGAAUAUGAGUCAGCCUCCGCCGAAUCAAGUUCAUCGGCAAAACGAACCUUUCUUCGGAGGAAACUUUCAUCCUCCGAACAACAAUAGAGGAGGGUGGGGACAAACUAUGGAGGAAGAGCAGUUUUCAGCUGAUGGAAGCAACCGAGGGAAGCAUCAUGAUUUCAGAGGCAGGGGACGCGGAAACAAGAUGGAUAUGGUAAGUCGACAUGAUGAGAAUGAGAACAAUCGAUCAGCUGGAACUUUCAGGGGUAGAGGUAUGUCUCGAGGAGGUAGAGGUAGCUUUGGUUACGGUCGGAUUGUAGACCAGGAUAAAUCUGAGGGGAAAAACGCCGCCAUCGAGGAAACUAAAGCUUUGAUGCUGAAAAUGAGGUUGGAAGAUAAGGAACUCAUUGACCGGCACAAGAAGGAGCACGGGAUAACAGAUGAAAACGAUGAAAAUUCUAAAUCUGAAGCACCAGAGGUUCAGCCUGGUGCGUACAGACCGCGAGAGAAGCGAGGACGAGAUGACCGCAAAGACGCUCAGAGAGCUCGAGGAGGACGGGGCCGAGGAGGACGAGGGAUGCCCCCUCAUAUGCCUGGUAUGGCUGGAGCUCCUGCUCCUCUGUUUGGAUUACAUCAUGGAGGUUCAGACUUUAGAACUCCUCCUUUCCCUGGUCUUGAGGGAUUCUUUCCGCCGCAGGCAAUGGGACACUUUCCACCUGGUUUCCCGCCUCACCUAGGUCCCGGAUUUCCUCCAGGAAUUAUCCCGGGAGGUAUGAGAGGUCGUGGAUUCCCUCGAGGUCGAGGGUUUCCUGCUGGUUUCCCGCCUAGAGGCUUCCCGCCUCCAAUGAUUGGUGCACGUGGAAUGCGAGGGAUGCGAGGACCGUAUCAAGGAGGGGGUCGAGGUCGUGAUCGGGGAAGAGGAGGAGGAGGGGGAGGACCUGAGCCGGGUGAUGGAGCGAGUACUGAAGAACCACCUUCUGAAGAUAAUCCUCUUCUGAGUGCUAUCAACAAACCUAGUGUAGAGACGGAUACACAGGCUGCUGUCGUGGAAACUGACGAGCCGUCAAAAAACUUGUUUAGCGAGCAGGGAACCUACGAGGGCCAGCUGGCCCUGCUCGCUGGAGCCGACCUUAGGGUCAGGCUGACCGAUCAGCUGGUCCGCGGUCAGACCGAGUGCAUGGUCUGCCUUGACAGAGUUAGGCAAACUCAUGCAACUUGGGACUGUCACAAUUGCUUCCAAAUUUUCCAUCUCAAUUGUAUAAAGAAGUGGGCUAAGACCGCCCGAACUGAGUCUGGGGGCUGGAGGUGCCCUGGAUGUCAAUCUGUUACCUCCAUCGGUCCCUCGGAGUACCGCUGCUUCUGUAGAAAACUCCGGAACCCGGACUGGAACCGGAACGAAGGUCUGGUUCCUCACUCCUGUGGAGAAGUAUGUGGAAGGAAAAGAUCAGAUCCGUGUUCUCACUCCUGUAAGGAGCUCUGCCAUGCUGGACCCUGUCCAACCUGCACUGCUACUAUACUGAUAACCUGCCCUUGUGGAAAAGAGAAAACUAGAAUGAAGUGUGGCGAGGAAUUUACUUGUGAGGGAGUUUGUGGAAAGAAAUUAAACUGUGAGGAACAUGAAUGUCAGGAUGUUUGUCAUCAAGGUCCUUGUUAUGAUUGUCUUAAGGUCUUCAAUCAAGUAUGCUACUGUGGGAAGAGUGUACGUGAAGUAGUAUGCAGUAAAGAAACUGUUGGAGUAACAAACUACGAGUGUGAGAACAUGUGUGAGAAGUCCCGCGACUGUGAGCUCCAUCAAUGCGAUUCUCCAUGUCAUCCCGGAGUCUGUGAACCCUGUCUACUCACCCCUAGUAGAGUUACAACCUGUCCCUGCGGACAAACCCCCCUGGAGAAGUUGUAUGAAAGGGACGGAUUAUCUCCGCGUGAGAACUGUUUGGAUCCUGUUCCUACUUGUGGUAUGACUUGUAGUGCUAAACUCCCGUGUGGAAACCUGGCAAGUCCUCACACCUGCUCUUCAGUUUGUCACACAGGUCCCUGUCCGACAUGUCCUAAGAACACCCUGGUAAGGUGUAGGUGCGGAUAUAUGGAUAAGGAGAUACCGUGCUGUGAGUUGACCGGUAGACCUGAUGAUGCUAGAUGUGAGAAGAGAUGUCAGAAGAAAAGAUCCUGUGGUCGGCAUAAGUGUACCCAGCUCUGCUGUAUAGAGAUAGAACAUGAAUGUAAUCUUAUCUGCGGAAAACUUCUCACCUGUGCCCUACACAGAUGUGAAGAUCUGUGCCACCGUGGGAACUGUAAAACCUGUCCUCGUGUUAGUUUUGACGAGCUCCACUGUAGUUGCGGAGCAGCAGUCCUGUAUCCCCCGGUAGCCUGUGGAACUAGGCCCCCGGAAUGUAAGGAACCCUGCAGCAGGAUUCAUCCUUGCUCUCAUACCGUUACACAUUCUUGUCAUAGCGAGGAUAAUUGCCCUCCCUGUACUCAACUCAUUGUCAAGCGGUGCUAUGGUGGACAUGAAGAGAGGAAGAAUGUUGCUUGUCUGGUGGAAGGAAUAUCAUGCGGAAAACCGUGUGGAAAACCUUUAUCUUGUGAAAACCAUUCCUGCAUCAAGAUCUGUCACGCAGGAACUUGUCUUACCGGAGAUAUCUGUACUCAACCCUGCACCAGGAGCAGGAGCUGUGAACAUCCCUGCGCUCAACCCUGUCAUACUGGGGUUUGUCCUGAUACAGUCUGUACUACUCAGGUUCGGUUAACCUGCGAGUGUGGGAACCGAACUGCCAGCCUACCCUGCUCCGAUAACUCCUAUAGUAGGGUUACUACAGCUCUUCUUGCUACCCGGAUGCAGGACGUGCAAGCAGGAAAUACUGUUAGUCUCAAGGAAUUAUCUAAGAGCAACAGGAAGUUAGAAUGCUCCGAGGAGUGUUCCAAACUUGAACGUAACAAGAGAAUAGCGCUAGCACUACAGAUUAGAAACCCGGAGCUCAGUGCUAAAAUCACUCCCCGCUACUCCGACUUUAUGAAGGAUUAUGCUAAAAGAGAUCCUAAGUUCUGUUCAACGAUCCAUGAUGAGCUGGCAAAAUUGGUUCAGCUUGCGAAGGAGUCUAAACAGAAGAGUCGGAUCAAAUCCUUUGAUUGUAUGAACAGAGAGAAGAGACAAUUAGUUCAUGAGUACGCUGAACACUUUGGCUGCGAGUCGGAGUCCUUUGAUGCUGAACCUAAGAGAAAUGUUGUUGCUACUGCUUCACGAGACAAGUCCUGGCUGCCAGCAAUAUCUUUGCUAGACUUUGUCCAGAAAAUGAAGAAGGUCCCAGCUCCCGUCAGUAGUACUGAGACGGUUUCUCCCGUAUUUACUUCUCUCUCAAAAGUAGAACCAGUUGCACCAAAGGAGAAGAUCGAUUGGUUUGAUUAAUCCCACCUUGUAGCCUGGCUCCUUGUUCACCUCCAGACCUGGAAACAUCAAACCUGAUCUAUCUAGGCUUCUGUUCUAAUUCAAACAUGGAUAAACAAUAAGGCUCCUCCUGCAAGAACGUGUUUCAAGUUUGAAUUUAACUUUCAAACAAUGUCGAGACAUAAUCCAGUGUUAAACUUGUUGCUAUCCGAUCUUUUUAUCCCUUCGCUCCCGUUCCUUUAUGUUUCUUAUUCCGAAUGAAGAAACUAAAAUCAGAUUUGAGAAAAAUGUUUGGGAAUAUUUUUAGUGAUGAAAAGUCGGGAAUGUUUGAACUGAAUCGUGAGAAUCUAUAAUUUAACCAAUAUUUACUUGAAGUAUGAGGGAAAGGGCAGGUUGUAUUGAAAGUAGAUUUAACCCUCUACUCUUAACCAUACAGUGCACUUCCCUCCCAAACUAUUAUUUGUCUUGGUUUAAUUUCACUUAUCGCCUCAAUUUUUCUUUCUUUGCAAUGUCUCUGCAAAAACUAUCAAACUUUUUCAUCUUUAACCCAUAUAAUUUAAUAUAAAACUAAAAUUUGAUUAACGAAAUCUUAAUUUAAAAAUAAUUGUAUGAAGAGUCUCGAUUUUCGGAGACUUGAGAAACGCAUUGCAUUACGAGAUAAUCUGUCAGUAAUAUUAUAAAAACCCGCCAACUGUAGUGAGUUAGAACUUAAAAACGUGAUAUUUCAACUCCAUGGCGGUGAUCCCUUGAACUAAUGUUAAACCCAAAGACUCGUUUUAUUUACAAUUUACUGUUGAUUAAUUGUGCACACGCCCUCUAUAUCUAUUGGCUGAAAUAAACUUGCGUUUUAUA
rnacentral:misc_RNA from 1 species